ACUCAAAGGAAUUGACGGGGGCCCGCACAAGCAGUGGAGUAUGUGGUUUAAUUCGAUGCAACGCGAAGAACCUUACCAAGGCUUGACAUGCAGACCGACACGUUAGAGAUAAUGUGGCCCUUCGGGGGGUCUGCACAGGUGGUGCAUGGUUGUCGUCAGCUCGUGUCGUGAGAUGUUGGGUUAAGUCCCGCAACGAGCGCAACCCCUGCAGCCAGUUGCCAACGCGUGAAGGCGUGCACUCUGGCAGGACUGCCGGUGACAAAUCGGAGGAAGGUGGGGACGACGUCAAAUCAUCAUGCCCCUUAUGUCUUGGGCUACACACGUACUACAAUGGGCGCAACAGAGGGAAGCCAUCCCGCAAGGGUGAGCGGAUCCCUAAAAGGCGCUCUCAGUUCGGAUUGUGGGCUGCAACCCGCCCACAUGAAGUCGGAAUUGCUAGUAAUCGCAGGUCAGCAUACUGCGGUGAAUACGUUCCCGGGCCUUGUACACACCGCCCGU
rnacentral:rRNA from 1 species